AGUCACGCAGUCCAAAACAAACUAGUUGGCGAUCACAUGUCAAUUUAGCCUGAUAAAGAUUGGUAUUCAAGGUUUUCGUCUCGUGUAGGCAGAGUUGAAACUACCGAUGUACACCCAAUAUCCUGAGUUUCACAACAGCUGUAGAAAUGGAGGAAACCACGUUUAGCUACAAUUUUAUUCCGAGUCGAACGGUGGAUGAAGUGAUCGACUUGAUGCGAUCUAGUUUUACACCUGAACAUAUGUCAACAGAGGAAGUCGUGGCUUUAUUUCUGUCCAUCUCUGAAGUGCCGUUGGCUCGUUGUAUGGGUUCUCUGCAAAAAACGUUACUGACGGAGAUAACCAAGCUGUCAAAGUCAGGUCGCCGACGUUAUUCUUACGGUGAAAGGUCCAGUACCGAGAACGGAGAGAGCAGAGUACUUCAGUUAGCUGCAGAAGAAAAUGAAGAUGUCAGUUACGACAACGAUGGCACAGACACAGGUCACAUGCAGACCACAGCGAUACCAAAGCAGACCCAGAUCCACCAUACUGAGGCAGUGGAUCAAGCCUCCACCACACAUGUAGUCUGUUCAGGACAGCAGGAUGAUGCUGAUGCACCUAUGUGUCCACACGGGAGAGAAGCCUUACUCCUGCUCCGACUGCAACAAGACCUUCCACAGACAGGAACCUGACAAACUACUACACCAAGGGGGGUGGGGCUCCGCCUGCCCGCGCACCUUCUUCCGUUCUGACGGAUGCAAGCACACGGGAGAGCAGCCGUUUCCGUGCCUGUACUGUGAGAAGAUGUUUGCGACCGCCGGUAUGAUGAAGGCGCACGCCCUGUGCCACCUGAGUGAGCAACCUCGCCCGUGUCCCCAGUGUGACAAGAGCUUCAGAACAGUGUAUGAUCCGAGUCAUCAGCUGGUGACACAAGGCCCUUCCUGUGUGUGAAGUGUCUCAAGGCCUUCAGGACAGCAAGGAUUCUGCAUAACCACAAGGUCCACCACAUGGAGGACCGUGACCACACCUUUGAGGACUGCAACAAGACACCAUCACCUGAAGCUCCACUCAGAGGAUACGCCCUACGUCUGUCCCGACCGCGGCAAGGGAUUCCUCCGACCCGACCGCCUCACCCUCCAUCACCGUACCCACGUUACAGAGCCCAAAUCCAGGAAGACGCGCCACAAGUGUUCCAUGUCUCCUUGGUGAACGCCCGCAGGCACACCUCACUGUUCACCUUAAUGUUGAGCACGGCGUCGAACCGUCCACCCCCCACGGGGUCAAGGUCAAAGUUUAACUGUCAUCUGGAUUGGAGGCAAAGACUAGGACAGGUCAAACCCAAACCGCCUUCGUUCAGGUGACCUGUGUCGGGUUAGUUUUACAGGUCUGAACCAACUGGAUAACCACAGCUGUGACACGGUGAGACGGAGUCAGAGACACAGACAGUUCCAGCAGAACAGGAGGAUCACAAUGAAGAAGUCAGAGCAGAGUUUGGUGUUGAAAGAAGAAAACGUGUUCCCGUCUUAUAAACUACUUGUCAGUGUCUAGUAGUACACGCCAUAGACACCAGCUUGUGUCAGGGAGUGCUGUAGCAGGGAAUACAGAUCUAGGACCAGUUGUUAAACCACAGCUUGUGUCAGGGCCGGGGAGUGCUGUAUCAGGGAAUACAGGUCUAGGACCAGUUGUUAAACCACAGCUUGUGUCAGGGCCGGGGAGUGCUGUAUCAGGGAAUACAGGUCUAGGACCAGUUGUUAGACUGUAGCUUGUCAGGGCCAGGGAGUGCUGUAGCAGCAAGAACAGGUCUAGGAACUGUUGUUAGAAUGCAGUGUGUCAGCAGGAAGAACAAGUCCCAGGUCUGUUUUUAUGAUUGUAGCCAACCAGGGAUUGGGACAGCCUCUGACCUUGUUCCAAGUACCUGUUCACAACUCCUGGUAGAGUCACAGCACCAUCUACAGGCCAAACAGUGAAACAACAUCCUCUGUGACUAGUUUACAUGGCUGUGGUAUCAUCCACAGCAACACCCAUAGCACCAGUAUAGUAUCCAAACCCAUAGUAACACUAGUAAAUCCCUGACAAGUCUCACCCGUAGCAGCUAAACACAUAGUAGCAGCACCAGUCACCUCCAUGGCCAGACCAGCAAUGACAUCACAACUAUGGCAACACCAGUAACUCCCAGGUGAAGACCAAAUGUUUUUUUGUUAAAUAAAUGAUAUAUUAAACAGGGACAGGGACGGACCCUUUUAGUUGCAAAAUGUUUUGCUACAGCGUUUAACGAAUGAAUUCACCCAUAGCUACUACUCCUCCAUGCUAACAGUUGGCUGAAGUAAGCCCUGAUAUGAGUGUCAAUGAAUUCACCCAUAGCUACUACUCCUCCAUGCUAACAGUGGGCUGAAGUAAACCCUGGUAUGAGUGUCAAUGAAAAGACCCAUUGAAACAUGUCUCUAAAACAAAGUUUACUUACAAAUACCCAAAAGCCAUUGACAGUAAGAAUGUACAGGGAUAAAUGCUAUUUGUAUGACCAUACAAACUGAUCAGAUAUACUUCAAGUUUCUUUCAUAAAGAACAGUCAUUCUAACAUGCAAACACAAAGCCUUGUACAGGAUGAAGAACUGAUUAUGUGAACACGUUUAGGAUUACAAAUGUGUUGGUUCACUAUUCUAACAUUUAAGCCUUGGAACAUUUGAUUAAACAGUUAAGACUAUAAAAGUUACAUGUUCCAUUUCUUGUUAGGUCUACAGCUUUGCCAUAAUCCCCUGUCUGAUUUCCUCCACAAAACCAAUAAAUCUUCAUUUGUUUCAGCUGCAAUAUAUUUUAUAUAGUGUUUUUCUCAGAGAAGUAAAUUAAUCCUACAGACACUAUGAAAAUUCAACCUUGUUGGUUAACCAAUUAUGUAUAUAUAAAAUUCUGAAAUGUAAAAAAUAUAAAUCUAGAGU